CAGACCGAUAACGACAACACUGUCAUCGGUGAGCAGGUGGAGGAGGCCCGGCAACAUGUGUCACCUUGAACUGUUGUCAGAUGAUGCGAUUCUCCCAGUGGAGCCCUAAAGGUUAAAGAGGUUUCCCAGAGACUAUGGGUUGAGGAGGAAUUGGAAGUUUGUCGGCUUAGACCUGGUGUCAUUCCAUCAGUGUUAAACUUCCCGGCUCAUCUUGGAAGAGUACAUGCCAGAAAGAUCACGACCAAGCAGCCUUGAGAUCUUAGACAGCGUCUCCCUCAGGUUCCUCUCUAUCUCCCCACACAUCCACCAACCACUGGAACACAUCUCCAAAGUUCUGCUGGACCAGCUCAGCUUCCCCUCAGAAGAAGUGCCGCCACCUGCCAGAUGAAGGAGCCUUUUGAGAGGGAGCUGCCAUCGUGAUUGGACUGUACUUUGGUCUGUUCCAAUCCAGCUUCAGCUCCAGCGACGGCAGGCGGGACGAGUCAACGGAGGCCGGGUGGAUGAAGACAUGCAGCUGAGUACAAUCCAGAAAACAACAGAGGAGGAGUGCAGUGGCCCAGGGCCAGAACAGAGUAGCAUCAUAUGUCUCUUAGAAAACAUCAUAGUAUAGCCUUUGCUAUGAAAAAACACCAUCAUAUACAUCGUAUAUUGUACAAAUAACAAGUCAAAGGAAAGAGACGUACAUUGUAGAAUUGUAGUAAUUGUGGGCUGACUGAUUUACUGAUUAUCAGUAUUUUAUUUUUUACUGAUUUAUGGUAAUAAAUACAUUUAAAAAUGG